AGGGACUUAGGAUAAAAAUAGACCAAGGGCCUUCAAAGCCCUAAGCGGGAGUGAAAACCUUCCAGCCCCUG
rnacentral:tRNA from 1 species